rnacentral:rRNA from 1 species
GUCCACGCCCUAACUAUGAUCACUCGUUGUUGGCGAUACACAGUCAGCGACUAAGGGAACCAUUAAGUGAUCCACCUGGGAGUACGACCGCAAGGUUGAAACUCAAAGGAAUUGACGGGCCCGCACAAGCGGAGGAGCAUGUGGUUUAAUUCGAUGAUACGCGAGGAACCUUACCUGGGCUUGAAAGUUAGUGACCGCUCCUGAAAGGGAGCCUUCCGCAAAGGACACGAAACUAGGUGCUGCAUGGCUGUCGU